rnacentral:rRNA from 1 species
AGUGAACGCUGGCGGCGUGCUUAACACAUGCAAGUCGAACGAGAACGGGCUAUAGCUUGCUAUAGUUGUCAGCUAAGUGGCGCACGGGUGAGUAAUGUAUAGGUAAUAUGCCUCUUACUAAGGGAUAACAAAUGGAAACGUUUGCUAAUACCUUAUACUCCUUAUUAACAGAAGUUAAUAAGGGAAAGAUUUAUUGGUAAGAGAUUAGCCUGUAUUGUAUCAGUUAGUUGGUGGGGUAAUGGCUUACCAAGACUAUGACACAUAACUGGUUUGAGAGGAUGAUCAGUCAAAGUGGAACUGAGACACGGUCCAGACUCCUACGGGAGGCAGCAGUGGGGAAUAUUGAACAAUGGACGAAAGUCUGAUGCAGCAACGCCGCGUGGAGGAUAACACAUUCGGUGCGUAAACUCCUUUUAUAUGAGAAGAUAAUGACGGUAUUAUAUGAAUAAGCACCGGCUAACUCCGUGCCAGCCGCCGCAGUAA